AUGGCUCAGGAUGAACGCUGGCGGCGUGCCUAACACAUGCAAGUCGAACGGAGUAAUUAAGCGGAAGUUUCGGAUGGAAGUUAGCUACUUAGUGGCGGACGGGUGAGUAACGCGUGGGCAACCUGCCCUGUACCGGGGGAUAACACUUAGAAAUAGGUGCUAAUACCGCAUAAGCGCACAGCUUCGCAUGAAGCAGUGUGAAAAACUCCGGUGGUACAGGAUGGACCCGCGUCUGAUUAGCUAGUUGGUGGGGUAGAGGCCUACCAAGGCGACGAUCAGUAGCCGACCUGAGAGGGUGACCGGCCACAUUGGGACUGAGACACGGCCCAAACUCCUACGGGAGGCAGCAGUGGGGAAUAUUGCACAAUGGGGGAAACCCUGAUGCCAGCGACGCCGCGUGAGUGAAGAAGUAUUUCGGUAUGUAAAGCUCUAUCAGCAGGGAAGAAAAUGACGGUACCUGACUAAGAAGCCCCGGCUAACUACGUGCCAGCCGCCGC
rnacentral:rRNA from 1 species